rnacentral:rRNA from 1 species
UCGAAACCUGCAAAGCAGACCCGCGAACGUGUGUUUAUUUAAUCCUAGGGAUGCCGAGGCGCGGGUGGACGAGAGUCCGCCCGGGUCGAGGCACCCUCGCUCCUGCGACGCGUGCGUCGUUUGAGCUAACGAACCCCGGCGCGGCAUGCGCCAAGGAAAACAACAAAGAAGCGUCGACCCUCGUUGCCCCGUCCGCGGGUGCCAGCGGGGGAAACACGACCUCUCUUGAACGUCAAAACGACUCUCGGCAACGGAUAUCUCGGCUCUCGCAUCGAUGAAGAACGUAGCGAAAUGCGAUACUUGGUGUGAAUUGCAGAAUCCCGUGAACCAUCGAGUCUUUGAACGCAAGUUGCGCCCGAAGCCACUAGGCCGAGGGCACGUCUGCCUGGGCGUCACGCAUCGCGUCGCCCCCUCCCAAUCCAUCCUUUGGGUGCUGGGAUGGGGGCGGACACUGGCCUCCCGUGCGCGCUUGUGUGCGGCCGGCCCAAAUGCGAUCCCGCGUCGACGGAUGUCACGACAAGUGGUGGUUGAACUUUCAACUCGCGUGCUGUCGUGCCUGGGUCCGUCGUUCGCUCGGGCAUCGUUUCGACCCAAAGGCGCCUGCGUGCGCCUCCGAC